rnacentral:rRNA from 1 species
AUUGAACGCUGGCGGCAGGCCUAACACAUGCAAGUCGAACGAGUGGCGGACGGGUGAGUAAUGUCUGGGAAACUGCCUGAUGGAGGGGGAUAACUACUGGAAACGGUAGCUAAUACCGCAUACCAUCGGAUGUGCCCAGAUGGGAUUAGCUAGUAGGUGGGGUAACGGCUCACCUAGGCGACGAUCCCUAGCUGGUCUGAGAGGAUGACCAGCCACAAUGGAACUGAGACACGGUCCAGACCCCUGCGGGAUGCAGCAGUGGGGAAUAUUGGACAAGGGGCGCAAGCCUGGUGCAGCCAUGCCGCGUGUAUGAAAGAGGCCUUCGGGUUGUAAAGUACUUUCAGCGGGGGGGCGUUACCCUCAGAAGAAGCACCGGCUAACUCCGUUCCAACAGCCGCGGUAAUAC